rnacentral:rRNA from 1 species
AGACGGGACCCGCACAAGCGGUGGAUGAUGUGGAUUAAUUCGAUGCAACGCGAAAACCUUACCUACCCUUGACAUGUCCGGAAUCCGAAGAGAUUUGGGAGUGCUCGCAAGAGAGCCGGAACACAGGUGCUGCAUGGCUGUCGUCAGCUCGUGUCGUGAGAUGUUGGGUUAAGUCCCGCAACGAGCGCAACCCUUGUCAUUAGUUGCCAUCAUUUGGUUGGGCACUCUAAUGAGACUGCCGGUGACAAACCGGAGGAAGGUGGGGAUGACGUCAAGUCCUCAUGGCCCUUAUGGGUAGGGCUUCACACGUCAUACAAUGGUCGGUACAGAGGGUUGCCAACCCGCGAGGGGGAGCUAAUCCCACAAAGCCGAUCGUAGUCCGGAUCGCAGUCUGCAACUCGACUGCGUGAAGUCGGAAUCGCUAGUAAUCGUGGAUCAGCAUGUCACGGUGAAUACGUUCCCGGGUCUU